UACGUAGGGGGCAAGCGUUGUCCGGAUUUAUUGGGCGUAAAGAGCGUGUAGGCGGCUUUACAGGUCCGUUGUGAAAACUCGAGGCUCAACCUCGAGACGUCGGUUGAAACCAUCUGGCUAGAGUCCGGAAGAGGAGUGUGGAAUUCCCGGUGUAGCGGUGAAAUGCGCAGAUAUCGGGAAGAACACCCGUGGCGAAGGCGGCACUCUGGGACGGUACUGACGCUGAGACGCGAAAGCGUGGGGAGCGAACAGG
rnacentral:rRNA from 1 species